CACACACUCUCUCUCUGUGCAAUGUCACAACAUUUAUUCCUGUCCAGAGUUGCAGUAAUUUUUCACCAACAUCUAGUAUUGAUGAUGGGACAGUCGGACUGAUGCUCUUCUCACUGGGGUUGGGGUUAAGGUCUGGACUCUGUGGUGGCCAAUCCAUGUGUGAAAAUGAUGUCUCAUGCUCCCUGAACCACUUUUUCACAAUUCGAGACCGAUGAAUCAUGGCAUUGUUAUCUUGGAAUAUGCUCGUGCCACCAGGGAAGAAAAAUUCCUUUAUUGCUCCAGAGUCCAGUCUUUAUGCUCCCUAGCUUUUUUUUUUUUUUUUUGCAAUUACCUUCACUGAUAAGUGGUUUUAUUAACACUACACAGCAGUUUAGUCCCAAUCCCUUGAGUUCCCUUCACGCUGUGCACGUGGAAAUGCUCUCACUUUCACUAUCAAACAUGGCUUUGAGAUCUACUGUUGUUUUUUUACGAUUUGAUUUCACCAAACGCCGAUUACGAUCAUUCAAGAUUUUUUCGGACCACAAUUUUCCCUCGAAGAUGAUGUGCAUAAAUACAUUAAAAACCCUUCCAAUGAUUGAUCAAGGCUUCAGAAUGUGACGACACACUUGAACGCUCUCGUGCGCUCCCAGGACCGGAAGUCAGCACGAGCCAGAGCUCAAUUAAACACCUGACUGGCAGCACGUGUAGAUUUGCCCUGGUAUUAGACCUCAGAAUGAUGUGGACAAACACUGCUGAAGCGUUUCAGAAGAGGAAUCAAUCCAAUGCCUUUACGGAUGAAUCACACUCUCAUUUUCCACAGAGUCAGAAGAGCAGACACUGUUUUUGUGUAAAAAAUGCCCAGAGGUCAGUGUGUAAUCCUGAAAUAUUCUGAAAUGUGUUUUUGGACCGAAUCGAAUGCUGAUGAUGUGCUGCAGUGACACACAAUGUUGCCACAGAACAGGAGACAUGAG